rnacentral:rRNA from 1 species
GCUGACUACAAACACAUCAAACAUCUUUAACCAAUAAACAAAACAUUUGACCAACCUAGUAGAUGUGAUCGAACAGUAAACACUACAGUACCGUAAGGGAAACCCAUUAAGCAACAAACAGCAAAGACUAGCCCUUGUACCUUUCGCAUUAUGGUUUAGCAAGAAAUCAGGACAAGAAGAAUCACAGCCCACACCCCGAAACCAGAUGAGCUACUUUAAAGCAGCCUAACGAGCGCACCCUUCUCUGUAGCAAAAGACGUGGGAAGACUUAAAAGUAGAGGCGAAACACCUACCGAAUCUGGAGAUAGCUGGCUACCCAACAAAUGAAUCUAAGUUCUACUUUAGACCAAAAAUACUAUCUAAUAACCUAAAGACACUCAAUAGGGGUACAGCUCUAUUGAAACAGGAAACAACCUGAACUUGAGAGAAAACACCAAACACAAACCAGUAGGCCUUAAAGCAGCCACCCUAAAAAAUAUCGUUAAAGAAUUAACCACAUUAAUACCAAUAACCACAAAAAACUCCAAAUAAACUAAAGGUAGACUCAUAAUAAUGAGUUCUAUUAUGCUAAAACUAAUAAUAAGACAACCUCUCUAUACAUAACCCCCCACUAACCACGGAUAAACCAUUAGCUGUUAACAGACCAUAAAAGGAAUAAACAACCAAUACACUAACACAAACAAACUGUGACCCCAACACCGGUAUGUUAUAAAGAAAGGUAAACUAUUAUAAAAGGAACUCGGCAAACCAGAAGCCCCAACUGUUUAACAAAAACAUAACCUUUAGCUAAACAAGUAUUAAAGGCAACGCCUGCCCAGUGAAUAUUAAACGGCCGCGGUACCCUAACCGUGCAAAGGUAGCAUAAUCAUUUGUCUACUAAUUAUAGACCUGUAUGAAUGGCAAAAUGAGGGCCCAACUGUCUCUUAUAAUAAACCAAUUAAACUGAUCUCCUAGUAAAAAAGCUAGAAUAACACCAUAAGACCAGAAGACCCUGUGAAACUUAAACUAAACUAUUAAAACAAAUAAUAGCUACUUUCGGUUGGGGCGACCUUGGAAAAAAAAAGAACUUCCAAACACACCAUACACACUGGCCAACAAGCCAUCAAAGACCCAGCACAGCUGACAAUUGAACCAAGCUACUCCAGGGAUAACAGCGCUAUCUUCUUCAAGAGCCCAUAUCAAAAAGAAGGUUUACGACCUCGAUGUUGGAUCAGGACACCCAAAUGGUGCAACCGCUAUUAAAGGUUCGUUUGUUCAACGAUUAAUGUCCUACGUGAUCUGAGUUCAGACCGGAGCAAUCCAGGUCGGUUUCUAUCUAUGCUAUAGCUAUGUUCAGUACGAAAGGACCAAUAUAACAAAGCCAAUACUAAAAGCACGCUUUAACUUUACCACAACUAAACCCAAACAAGGUUAUUAAACACCUUUUA